GACGUAGGGCGCAAGCGUUUGUCCGGAUUUAUUGGGCGUAAAGAGCUCGUAGGCGGCUUGCCACGUCUGCCGUGAAAACCAGCAGCUUAACUGUUGGCUUGCGGUUGAUACGGGUUGGCUGGAGUUCGGUAGGGGAGACUGGAAUUCCUGGUGUAGCGGUGAAAUGCGCAGAUAUCAGGAGGAACACCGGUGGCGAAGGCGGCAUCCUGGACCAACACUGACGCUGAGGAGCGAAAGCCAGGGGAGCAAACGGG
rnacentral:rRNA from 1 species